UAAUACGUAGGUGGCAAGCGUUGUCCGGAUUUACUGGGCGUAAAGAGCGCGCAGGCGGUCGGAUAAGUCGAAUGUGAAAGCCCCCGGCUCAACUGGGGAGGGUCAUUCGAUACUGUUCGACUCGAAGGCAGGAGAGGGAAGCGGAAUUCCCGGUGUAGUGGUGAAAUGCGUAGAUAUCGGGAGGAACACCAGUGGCGAAGGCGGCUUUCUGGCCUGUUCUUGACGCUGAGGCGCGAAAGCCAGGGGAGCAAACGGGAUUAGAUACCCCGGUAGUCCUGGCUGUAAACGAUGGACACUAGGUGUUGGUGGUAUCAACCCCACCAGUGCCGUAGCUAACGCAUUAAGUGUCCCGCCUGGGGAGUACGGCCGCAAGGCUA
rnacentral:rRNA from 1 species